CUCAUGCGGAGUGUUGUUUGUCGGUGUCUCCGGAACACCUGGAUGGACAGCACCGGGAAAUUCCGCUCGUGCUUGGUGUUGGUGACUCACGCCAGCGGGUCGGCACAGCAGACACAGAGAGGAGGCCUGAUUUUCAGCUUCAAUGCAAGGAAACAUUAGUGCGCCGCAAGAUACGCCAAGACCGCAGGCACACGUUUCCUGGAAACAAUUGAGACAGAAACACAAACAGGUGCCCCACGCCCACCCCCAGCAACAACACACCCGCUUAACUUCCUAAAGGCCUCUGAUGAAAUGCCACGAUUUCAUGGAGGGCACGCCACGUACUGAGUGGUCCAAAAACGUGAUGAUUAUGACCUGGAAAAAUCUGCUGAACGCACUGGGCAAUUGUUCCACAGGAAGGAAAACGAAUAACGACCCUUGCUGAACCGAACACUGAAAAGAGGAACACUUCGGGAAUGCUUCCCAGUAACUCUGCGCACGCACAGCAAGCAUUCGCGAGCGGCAAGGACACUGCAACUAUCAAGAUGACCUCCGGAUGUCCAUGCAUCGAUUCAAGUGCACGCACUGAGGACCUUGAAGUUGGCCAGCCAGUUUGACAAAUGUGUAAUUGCGGGUACAUAGUUCGCCAGUGAAAGCGCUUUAUUGAUCAAAACGGGAAAAGGAAGCUGACCCUAUAUGCAUAUUUUACAACCAAAAACCCUCAGGGAUUUUGUUUGAUAAAAUAUUAAAGGGCGAACUAAAUAUUUCGCUUAGUGACACUGAAACGACAAGAGGACAAUGUAUACUGCAGGAUAACAUUCGUUAACGUUAAGGCUAGUCACAUUUUUCACGACGUAAAAGGAAAUCGAUGGUAUAAUGUGCUCGCAAAGUAUGACCUUAUUUGCUACAGAAAAUGCUAUUGGAAUGGUUGUAGCCUAUUCAAUGAUAACUAAACAGCAGCUUGACAGUUCGUAUCGGAGUACAAAUCCAGAUGUUCGUGAUACUUCUAUGGCAACUACCAAGCUACAACACCAAGCACGAAAAUGUACAAAUAGCUGGUCUGCUUUGUUAGUUUGCGUAACUGUUAAUGUCAUAGCGAAUCUUACAUUUGUUGCUAGAAAUAAAGAGCAUGUGCCCAGACAAUACCAUAUAGCCGUCACCUGAGACACAAAGAGGACUAAUUCUCGCUGGCCAAGUUGCAAUACCUGUUAUUCAUUAGAGGAAACGAAUACAUCUUUAUAAGCAUGCACAGUGAUUACAAACACGCGCGUGGGUCUUUCGUUUUGCGCAGAUACGAGAGCUAUUAUAACCUUACAGAGCCUAGCUAGAUAACAGCUAGUACUAGCAUAGCCAGCCUUGAAUGGGGGUUGGGCUGCUCACAAGAUAGCAAGCUUGCUACAUAACGUUAAAUGAAUGGAGUGGAAUACACAUUUCUCACAGAUAAUUCACAAGAGGACUGUAUUGACUCACCUGACUAUAAUGCACCCUGAACGGUUUCAGGUGAUUGGAGCUGGUACAUGGAACGACCUGGAUAUUAUUAAUCUGAUCCAUUAUUCAUAUAGAUCCUAUCCAGCUGCCCACUUGAUCUUCAAAUCUCACCACAGACGGCACAAACGCAGAAAAGGAUAACGGAGGAAAAAUGCCUACGGGUACCUAUGAAGGACAGUCCACAGAAAUAACGUUCGAAUUCAAAGCAAAUCCAGUCAGAAAGGAGGCUGUCGUGAUUUAUAUAUAGCAUACUACGUCACAUUUACUAAAAUUAUAGGAUCUACGGAAAGUAUGAUAUGCAAUGCAUUAUCUAUAUCACGCAACACCUAUCAUGCAUAAUGAAUUAUAUUUCAUAUAACAACCACUUAUAGAGGCAGAUUCGAGUCUCAGAACAAUCAAGGACACGAUUGAGCAACAAUUCGGUGAGAGUAAAGUCAAAUCCAACGGUUAGAGGACAUGACAUACAGUAUAGCCUACAUAUUUAGAGGUGGAACGUGCACCAAACAGUAAUCUCUUGGCCAAGCCUAUUAUUUGAAAGAGAGCAUCUAAAAUGUAGACUAGUGUAGAGAUAUACUGCCGUACUUCACCAUAUGGCUUGAUUUCAGUAUGUUUGAUUUCUCUCUCACCAAAAUAAUAUUUACAUUAUAUCGAUGUUUCAUAGUUCAUGUUUAAUAUUUACAUGUUCAGUUACAUAAUAGUGGCUGUAUUCAGUGAAAUCAAUAAUAGCAACUGAUGUGCAUAGUAAUAUAAUAUUAGGCCUAAUGCUAAUAAGGUUCUCCCCCAUAAUAAAUAAAAACUGAAUUAAUCAGUCUCGUGGUGAUUUCCUUAAAUGUGCUUAUAGAACAUUUUAAAAUAUCGGACGUCCAAUUGGUUCGUUUCUCUUCUCACGAAUCUUUCUCUUUUAAAAAUGUUUUUAGCACUUUAUGCGUUGGCCUCCAAAGCUCCAAUGGAAUGCAAAUAUAACAUUGGUCGCGCACGCCAGGUAAAAGACUAUUGGUCCGCGCUGGCGGUCCCUCCAGCUAACGGUUUCAUUCCGUCGCUCACACCUCCGCUCCCGGCUGUCUCCGUGGCGGGCAUAUAUCAGAUGUCUACAGUGCAGUGCGUAACACAUAGAUCUAUUUCAAAAGCAAACAUUGACGUCUUUGCUCUGCGUCAUUACUCGGGGAGCACACCUGGUGGCUGUCGAUGAAUGCGCUGCGUUAUUUCACAAAAUUUUCGUCGUUCUGACUCGUGCAGACAGGCCCUGGCAGAGUGAACUGACUUCAUUGAUUAUUAUUAGGUUCUGGUUCUCCUCUAUGCAGGUAAACAAAAAGAGUUAUAGCAGUAUGAGGAAUGAGCCCUUUGUGGUUCCAGGUGACCCAAAAUUGCAGAGGUUUAUCUUGAAGUAAUAGGUAACAUUUUUUACAUUGGCAAUUCACCAAGUACAUACUGUACAUGUGAAUGUGUGUAAGCACGUUUAUUCAGUUUCACUUUAAAUAGUGGAAUGGUCCCAGGUGGUGUUUUUUCCCCAGAUAUCAAAACACUAACUGUUGUACAAAAAUGAUUCAUGUAACAGCAGAUGCCCUCUCGUGUCCUACAGUACUUUUAAUCGUUCAGGCCUCUCCAUGUCAGGAUUACCUGCUAAUCUGUACAGGGAGUUAUGUGCAGUGUAAGAGGUUUGACUUCAAAAGACUGAUAACAACGAUACUGAACCAGGCCUCUAAAGGGAUUAUUUCUGUGCUGAAAACCGGCAGCUAAAUGUGAAGAUGUUAUCCUUAGUUCUCCUAAUUAAAAUGAUGAAAUGUGCUUCACUUUGAAACUGUGCCAGUUAGAUACAAUUCAACAGUCAAACAUAACCCCUAAAAUUGCUUGUUCUCCUCUUAAUGCACAGAAAGAACCCGUGGAAUGUCCUCGCAGUCUUGUUAGCCUACAAAUAACCCAUGGCUGUAAAUACUGGUCCGAGGUGAAAUGCAUGGUUUAGGUGUAUUUUUAAGGCAGGGAUCCAUUUAGUGCAGUCUUAUCUGUCCAUCUUUCAGACUGGAAAGCUCUGUUUAACCAGGACUCGUGUCUUUUUAUCUCAUCGUACGGCUCUGAUUGCCACUCAUUCGUACCAGCUGGGGUGGCUUAGGUUGCCUCUGUCCUCCUUAUAAUCCCACCUUUCUCUUUCCUCUGUGCCUCGAUGAUAAAUGACUUGACAUGCCCUUUGAUGUACCCAAAGGUUACAGAAAGGAAACAAGAAAUUGUUUAAUCCCCUUUUACUGGGAAGCCCUUUUUCUGCUUUUGCAAUGGGUGCAGGUCACAUCUUCAUCAUGAGUGCCCUUUAAGAAAAAUCUCCACAGUUCACCUCGCAGUUAUCGUUUUGCACACGUGUGGUUUGUCUAGAUGUUUCUUUGCCGCCUGGAAAGUCAAUCAAUGAGUAUUUUGAAAUUCACCCACAAGGUAAGUGUUUUUGUAGGGCAUUCACUUUGCAUUGAGCAUUAAAGUUCAAUAGCCUGAUUUGAAUAUACAUGUUAGAUCCCACCAAACAUGUCCAUGGGUUUUUAUUUUUUGUGCUGAGCAAUCAAAAUCUGAUAAGAUGCUCAGUUCCUUCCAGAGGUGAGAUGUAUUUCCUGUUAUGAAUAUGCAUUUAAUUAUGGGGUAAUAUUCUGCACUGUGUAUGAAGGCUGGUCUGUCAUUGUCUGGCAGUUCUGUCCCAUUCCCAUAUUGGCCUUUGUAAUAAAAAAAAUCCUACUUGAGUUUCUUCACCCCAACAAAAUUGACACUGAUCCUAAUGCAGUAACAACUUUUCAAGCGAUACAACUUUUGCUUUGACCAUUAAUGUAUCGUUUGAGCCAGACAGGGCCUCUCUCGCUUAACUGAGCUGAAUUUCUCUCAGAGGAAGAGGAAGUGGAGCGAGAACUGAUCACUCUGUGAGGACAACAAUGAUGGACCCUUUGCUUCUCACAACUAACAACUCCCAUUCUUAACGAUCAUAUCUGGUAGUAUGUGGAAAAAUAUAUUUAAAAAUGUAGAAAAAUAAUAUAUUCAAUAUAAAAUAAAUGUAGUAUAUUUACAAAAAACAUACUCCGUCCAGCCUCUUUGGAACUCACAUAUCAACAUGUUGAUUGUCAGACCUCAUUUAUAGCUGAUUAGCUCAUUGGUAAUUUUUUCCAUUAGUUGAAUUAACUGGUAGAUUAACUGGGAAACCUCAAACCUGUUAAUUACAUCUCACUUGAAACACUUUUUAAACAUACAAAUACAUACAAAUACAUUGCCAAGAUACUCAAACAUACAAAGCACUGUUUAUAAGUCUUUAAUUAAAACUUGUAAAAUCUAGGCCUGCUGUUAAAAUCAUUAUAUCAAAAUGAGACCAAAACAACAAACAGUAUUGGUUGUCUCAGCUCACACAAAUUAAACAAGCUGUAUUCCAAAGCAAUCGCAAAAUUAAAUUAUACUAUUAUACGUAUUUAGCUAAAGUUUAUCUGACCUACAUACACACAGUACAUUAAUGGAGCAAACAUACUGUAUGUCUGGAUAGGUUUGUAAGAUUCAAUAUUUAUUUAAUAGGCCUAAAUAUCUGUAAAUCUUAUCUGUAUUUAUGUAUUCAUUCCUCUCCCCCCUUUCACUAGUGUAAAUUAUUGUAUGUCUUGUUAUAAAUUGUUAAUGUGAAGCUGAUAAGCUGCUGGGGAUAAUGAAGUAUUCUAUAUGUAUUUAUUGAUCCAUUGAUCCAUCCUCUUUUAGCAUAUUUUACAGAAUUUAUUUUAAGUUGCAAAUAUAAAAGGACAUUUGGUAAAAUCAACUUGACAACCAAGUAUAAACAUAUCCUUUCUGGAGUGUAAGUUUUCAUCAGCUGUUUAAGACAAUACUUAGGAAAUAUAGGGUAACAUUGCUCUGGAAUAAAGGUUGUUUAAUUUGUGUGACCUAAGAUAACUAACAUUGUUUGAUGUAACU